UGGGUGAGCGGGAGAAGCAAGGAGCAG
rnacentral:piRNA from 1 species